rnacentral:lncRNA from 1 species
GGGCCCUCCAGCCUACCCACUCCCAAGUACCUGGAAGAAGCUCUCCACGUGUUCCCUUGGGGCCUCCUCCCGGAGUGCAGGGUCAUACAGGUUGAAGGCCCAAUUAAGCCUGUCAUCUACAGUUCCCCGAAGAAUCACGGACAAACCAGCCACAAAGUCCUGGGAAGGAGGCAGGAGGGAGCUGUGUCCUCGGGUACUCUUCACCCAACUCCUUCUCUGGGUUUGGCCUGGAGAUCCUGGCCCUGAACUCCAGGAAACAGGCUUCCCUGGCCCACCUCGCCCAGCUCACCUCAAAACUGACCGAGCCAUCAUGGUUGGUGUCAAAGGCAUUGAAGAGAAAAGUGGCAUAGGUGCUGGAGUCUGCAGGGUGAGUGUGGAGAAGUUGGCUUCCACACAGGAGAGGACUUCCUCCCUCUAAGGAGCUCCCCAUACCCCCCAUCACCUUGGCAUUCCCAGCUCCUCCAGAAUCCCUCCCUCCCUCAGCCUAGAGAAGGACAACUGCUUCCCCUUGGGCCUUGUCCCCUCACCUCCUUGAGGAAAGAACUGGGAGUAAAUCUGCUUGAAGUUCUCCUCAUUGACAAUUCCGCUGGGACAUUCCUGGAAGGAGAGGGCACCAGGCUGAGGGCAGAGACAAAAUCCCCUUCCGUUCACCGCCCCCACCCUCCAUGGCCCAAGACUCCCAGGGAGGGGGAUAAUCUUCAAGCCUCCAGAGGACUCACCACGUGGCUCAUGUGAUGGGAGGGAAGACUUCUUUCCCAGUGCACAAAUAAA